rnacentral:rRNA from 1 species
CCUGGACUAAAAGGAAGUGAGAAUGCCGGCAUUAGUAACGAUAAGGAGAGUGAGAAUCUCUCCCGCCGAAAACCUAAGGUUUCCUGGGGAAGGUAAAUCCGCCCAGGGUUAGUCGGAACCUAAGCCGAGGCCGGAAGGCGUAGGUGAUGGACCACCGGUUAAUAUUCCGGUACUACCAGAUUAUCGCUUUAAGUGAUGGGGGGACGCAGGAAGGUAGGUCAGCACGAUAAAAGUUACGUGUCCAAGCCUGAUAUGGGAAGAGAUAGGAAAAUCCGUCUCUUAUUAAAACCCUAAGAGGUGAUAGGGAGCUGCUAUGGCAGCGAACUGAUCGAUCCUACACUGCCUAGAAAAUCCUCUAAACAAGAUAACCUGGUAUCCGUACUAAAACCGACACAGGUAGGUAGGUAGAGAAUACCAAGGCGCUCGAGAUAACCCUCGUUAAGGAACUCGGCAAAAUGACUCCGUAACUUCGGGAGAAGGAGUGCCCCGGUAGGGUGAGCCAAUUUACUUGGUUAGCCCGAGGGGGCUGCAAAGAAACGGCCCAAGCGACUGUUUACUAAAAACACAGGUCUCUGCUAAAUCGAAAGAUGAUGUAUAGGGACUGACGCCUGCCCGGUGCUGGAAGGUUAAGGAAGGGGGUUACUCCUCAAGUGAUUGAGGGGGAAGCUCUUGACCGAAGCCCCAGUAAACGGCGGCCGUAACUAUAACGGUCCUAAGGUAGCGAAAUUCCUUGUCGGGUAAGUUCCGACCCGCACGAAUGGCGUAACGAUUUGGGCACUGUCUCAACGAGGGACUCGGUGAAGUUGUAGUGUAAGUGAAGAUGCUUACUACCCGCGACAGGACGGAAAGACCCCGUGAACCUUUACUGUAGCCUGAUAUUGAACUUUAGCAUAUCCUGUGUAGGAUAGGUGGUAGGCUGUGAAAGAGGGGCGUCAGCCUCUCCGGAGCCAUCCUUGAAAUACCACCCUUGAUAUGUUCGGGUUCUAACCUUUCGCCGUUAUCCGGCAAAGGGACAGUAUUUGGUGGGCAGUUUGACUGGGGCGGUCACCUCCUAAAGAGUAACGGAGGUGUCCCAAGGUCUCCUCAGUGUGGUUGGAAAUCACACCUAAGAGUGUAAGGGCAUAAGGAGGCUUAACUGCGAGAGAGACAUCUCGAGCAGAUGCGAAAGCAGGGCCUAGUGAUCCGGCGGUAACUAGUGGAUGUGCCGUCGCUUAACGGAUAAAAGGUACUCCGGGGAUAACAGGCUGAUCUCCCCCAAGAGUCCAUAUCGACGGGGAGGUUUGGCACCUCGAUGUCGGCUCGUCGCAUCCUGGGGCUGAAGCAGGUCCCAAGGGUUUGGCUGUUCGCCAAUUAAAGCGGUACGCGAGCUGGGUUUAGAACGUCGUGAGACAGUUCGGUCCCUAUCCGUCGUGGGCGUAGGAUACUUGAAGAGGGUCUGCCUCUAGUACGAGAGGACCGAGGUGGACGAACCUCUAGUGUACCAGUUGUCCUGCUCAGGGCAUUGCUGGGUAGCUAUGUUCGGUCGGGAUAAACGCUGAAAGCAUCUAAGUGUGAAACCCACCUCAAGAUGAGGUAUCCCAUCUGGAU